GACGAACGCUGGCGGCGUGCCUAAUACAUGCAAGUUGAGCGCUGAAGGUUGGUACUUGUACCAACUGGAUGAGCAGCGAACGGGUGAGUAACGCGUGGGGAAUCUGCCUUUGAGCGGGGGACAACAUUUGGAAACGAAUGCUAAUACCGCAUAAAAACUUUAAACACAAGUUUUAAGUUUGAAAGAUGCAAUUGCAUCACUCAAAGAUGAUCCCGCGUUGUAUUAGCUAGUUGGUGAGGUAAAGGCUCACCAAGGCGAUGAUACAUAGCCGACCUGAGAGGGUGAUCGGCCACAAUGGGACUGAGACACGGCCCAAACUCCUACGGGAGGCAGCAGUAGGGAAUCUUCGGCAAUGGACGAAAGUCUGACCGAGCAACGCCGCGUGAGUGAAGAAGGUUUUCGGAUCGUAAAACUCUGUUGGUAGAGAAGAACGUUGGUGAGAGUGGAAAGCUCAUCAAGUGACGGUAACUACUCAGAAAGGGACGGCUAACUACGUG
rnacentral:rRNA from 1 species